UAUCAAACAGAUGGUGCGCUCCGAGC
rnacentral:piRNA from 1 species